rnacentral:rRNA from 1 species
CCUACGGGUGGCAGCAGUGGGGAAUAUUGCACAAUGGGGGAAACCCUGAUGCAGCGACGCCGCGUGAGUGAAGAAGUAUUUCGGUAUGUAAAGCUCUAUCAGCAGGGAAGAAAAUGACGGUACCUGAUUAAGAAGCCCCGGCUAACUACGUGCCAGCAGCCGCGGUAAUACGUAGGGGGCAAGCGUUAUCCGGAUUUACUGGGUGUAAAGGGAGCGUAGACGGCAGCACAAGUCUGGAGUGAAAUGCCCGGGCUUAACCCCGGAACUGCUUUGGAAACUGUGCAGCUGGAGUGCAGGAGAGGUAAGUGGAAUUCCUAGUGUAGCGGUGAAAUGCGUAGAUAUUAGGAGGAACACCAGUGGCGAAGGCGGCUUACUGGACUGUAACUGACGUUGAGGCUCGAAAGCGUGGGGAGCAAACAGGAUUAGAUACCCGGGUAGUC